UUUUGGAAAUCUAAAACAAGCUGCAAGAAAGAGAAAACAGAAGGAAAUUUCUAGAUUAGACUCUGACAGUGACGAUCUGUCUAGUGAGUUAGAAGAAGAAGAAGAAGUAAAAGUUGAUGAGGAGGAGUUAUCUAGAAAAAGGUCAAUUUUAUUCAAGCUACCUUAUUGGGAGGAACUCCCUGUAAGACAUAACCUAGAUGUAAUGCAUGUGGAGAGAAACGUGGCAGCGAGUAUUGUAUUAACUUUGUUGCAAUGUGGAAAAUCAAAAGAUGGUCUUAAUGCU
rnacentral:sRNA from 1 species